CCCAGACAGCAUAUGACCGUUUUAUAGAGUCCCGGAUCUGAUCUCGGUCAUUUCCUAAUCUCGAGAAUAGGUGCGAUCAGUUUUCAAGUUCUACAGCAGCAACGUUACGACGGAUACUGACGUGACCCACUCUACCUAGUUGCUAUCCAGUAGGACUAUGACGCUGGCGUAGCAGCUAGGUCUGGCUGCAGCUAUUUGGCGGAGAACAAGUGACAGAGUAUCAUAUCUCGGCUCCUUAUAUGACUUCCUUUUGCCAAAUUGUUGGUUUUGUCUUGUCAACCUCUACUCUCGCAGACAACGAAGAAGACGGAUGACUCACGGGACAUAAUCUCGGUCACCUGAUCUCGAGUGAUUUUCUCUCUUCAGACGCAGAUCUGAGGCGUUCUUUUGGCUAAUGUUAUAGUCAUCACCGCUGGCUACUAUGCCUACGGGGUGAUGUUAGUGCUCAUCGUACUGUUGUUAUGGCAGAACGUGAAAUGUGAGAGACAAAUACUCGGACAUCCGGGAUCAUAUCUCGGUCAGUCGCUUUCAUCGCGUUUAUACAAGACGAAUUGAGACGGUAGUCAUGUCUGUUGAAAGGGUCGCUUUGGAUGUUUAUGCCACUGAAUAGCCGGUUUUGUCUCUUCAGUUUUUCUGUUGCAGGGCGGUGGGAAAGGUGAUCGACCUAUGGGACCUAAUCUCGGUCACACUUGUAUGAGCGCACUUCUUGGGUUCUACAGCUUUCAGAUUGAUCCUCAUGGAGAUAAACAUUGAAUCCAUUCUGGCACAAGUUGAAUGUCACAAGAGUAUGCCAGGACUCUGCAUACUUGUAAACUGUGUACGUACUACGAUCUUGUUGAUUGUAAGAUUUUAGCUACAUCAGUUAUUAUCAACAACAUGCACUGCUUAGCUAAUUAGCUAAUUUUAUACACAGAAGGUUCGUUGGAUAUUUUCACUGGACUAAUUAUCAUAACUUU